UACGUAGGGUGCAAGCGUUAAUCGGAAUUACUGGGCGUAAAGCGUGCGCAGGCGGUUCUAUAAGACAGAUGUGAAAUCCCCGGGCUCAACCUGGGAACUGCAUUUGUGACUGUAGAGCUGGAGUGCGGCAGAGGGGGAUGGAAUUCCGCGUGUAGCAGUGAAAUGCGUAGAUAUGCGGAGGAACACCGAUGACGAAGGCAAUCCCCUGGGCCUGCACUGACGCUCAUGCACGAAAGCGUGGGGAGCAAACAGG
rnacentral:rRNA from 1 species